GAUGAACGCUAGCUACAGGCUUAACACAUGCAAGUCGAGGGGCAGCAUGACCUAGCAAUAGGUUGAUGGCGACCGGCGCACGGGUGAGUAACACGUAUCCAACCUGCCGAUUAUUCCGGGAUAGCCUUUCGAAAGAAAGAUUAAUACUGGAUAGCAUAACGAGAAGGCAUCUUCUUGUUAUUAAAGAAUUUCGAUAAUCGAUGGGGAUGCGUUCCAUUAGUUUGUUGGCGGGGUAACGGCCCACCAAGACAUCGAUGGAUAGGGGUUCUGAGAGGAAGGUCCCCCACAUUGGAACUGAGACCCGGUCCAAACUCCUACGGGAGGCAGCAGUGAGGAAUAUUGGUCAAUGGACGAGAGUCUGAACCAGCCAAGUAGCGUGAAGGAUGACUGCCCUAUGGGUUGUAAACUUCUUUUAUAUGGGAAUACAGUGGGCCACGUGUGGCUUUUUGUAUGUACCAUACGAAUAAGGAUCGGCUAACUCCGUG
rnacentral:rRNA from 1 species